UGGUGACACCGAUGGUGAUAUCCUGGUGACACCAGUGGUGACAUCAUGGUGACACCCAUUGAGGUCUCCUGGUGACACCAAUGGUGGUGCGGUGCCGUGGUCACAGCAGUGGUGCUGUCACAGUCGUGGUGACACAAUGGUGACCAUCGUGGUGACACACCGACACCUCUGCUGCCACCUCACACCACUGACACCAACACUCACCAUAGAGGUGUCACAUUGACACUCCUGGUGCCACCUCACACCACUGUGACACCAACACUGUCACCACGGUGGUGUCACACUGACACUCCUGGUGCCACCUCACACCACCGUGACACCAACACGGAUAUGGUGGUGUCACGUUGACACUCGUGGUGCCACCUCACACCACUGUGACACCAACACUCACCAUAGAGGUGUCACACCGACACCCCUGGUGCCACCUCACACCACUGUGACACCAACACU
ensembl:lncRNA